CAAGAGAGAGAAACAAUGAGGAACAUUUAAUUUGACCCAACAUCGUUUAGGAGCAUAAAUGUUGACACUAAGUUCUCCGUUUUGUGCUAAAAUGGACAGUAUUAGCAAAAUGACUAUGCGCAUAACAAUGAUACCACAGCUUCUUAUCCUCUGGCUCUAUAUUGCUUUGGAAACACUUAAACAUCAAAUGGAGUUAAAUACAUAUUUGAAAUUUAGGUUAGGAAAUAUUGGUGAGGAGGCCUCAAAAAGGGGGAAACAUCUUUUGUCUGGGAGGAUAUUUUCCAUUUUGUGAAUUUCCCUGAUCUUUCUCUACCAACCUGAGUGGUAGUGGGGAUUAUCGUUUUGCUACAUUUUAGAGGUCAUCCAGGAUUUUUGAAACUUUACAUACUUUACAGUUAAGCAAGCUGCACAGCUCAGUCAAAGACAGUGCUAAGGAGUAUAGCAGAUGAACUAUAAGUGUGUUGGGAGGUAGAAUAUCAUCCUAAAAUGAGAGUGAUGUUGUGGAGACAGUUGAAAUGUCAGUGCUAGAGCCUUUGUGGUGUGCAUGGGUAGGUUAGGUUGUUGCAUUAGAAAGUGACUCUUUCCAAUAGGAAUUUGUAGCUUUGUGCAAAUUCACCCACUAUCUACCUCAAUAAAAUAUUGAGAAAAGAAAAAUAGAGCAGUUUGAGUUCUGUGAGAUAUGCAGGCCCAGAGAGACAUAAGUAUGGUCCUUUAGUCUUGCUUCCUGUGUGCAAUAGUGCCCCUCCAAACCAUAGCUGGGGGCAAUUGUUUAAUGCCAUUUUGUUCCUGACUAGCUGCCUUGCCCAUUAUCUUCAUGUUCUUGGAAUUUGAUUCAGAGAGCAAUUUAUAGCCAAUUGAUAGCUUAUGCUGUUUUAAUAUAAAUUCAUGGUAAAUAACUUAGGAACUGCCUCUUCUUUUUCUUUGAAAACCUACUUGUAACUGUUGCUAAUAAGAAUGCAUAUUGUUCAGGGCAACUUGACUCCAUGCAGUUGGGUUGUAACUCUCAUGCUUGGCCCAAGUAACCUCUCUACUUAUAUCAGUUUUUCCUGCACUUCUUCCUUUUAGGUCAAGAAUAUCAAGAGGAGUUACUGUGCUGGGUAAUGUGUAAACCUGUACUUUGUUUAGAAAGAUAAAUUUGAAGACUAUCACAUUGCUUUCUCAUAAAACAAGACAGGUCCACAAUUAAUUUAUUUUGACACAAAUUGAUAGGGGGAGCUGAGUAAGCCCCGUAUGCUUAAUGAUCAGCUGAUGAAUAAUUAUCUUUUAGCAACAUAACUCAAUCUAACGCUAAGGUACCCACAAGAUGGCAAGGCUGAUCAAAGUCUUCAGGGGGUCCUGCAACCAAAAGCCAUGGAAAUUUGGAAGUCCUCAAAUCCCAUUCUUAAUCUGAUGAGUUUAUGGACCAAUUUGUGGAGGACAGUAGACUAAAUAGAUCUAAUUUUUGCCAUCAAUGUAAGGAAGAUAAAAACCUGCAUACCAGUUGUAAACCCUCGUAAAAUCUUUCUCUGAUGUUGGAGAAAAUGCAGGCCACUUGGGCCAGUGAGAUCAUAGAUGUGGAAAUACAGUCAAUAUUCAGUUGCACCCUCCUGCAAUCCCACUUCCUUCCUCAACACAAUUCAAGCAAAUAGACUCAAACUGUUUCAGGCUCCAAGACAGGAAGUGCAGUGUAAGCAAAAUUGCAAAAAUUGAGGAUAUAGGGUUGAGAUGGGGAGGUCAAGUAACAAGCUGUGCUAAACAAUUAUGUGUAAAUAUAUUUUUUCGGUUUUAAAAAUUGAUUUCUUUUGCACAUUCCAUGACAAUACCUGACAGAUUUUUUAAAUAAAUGCAAAGAAACAUA